GAAAUGCUCGAUCUUUUCACGUCAAGCAGCAGCCAUGGGCACACAUCGAUUCACAUCGCUCCGCGUUUCUCACGUCUUUUAUCCGUCGAAAGUGCGUCUUACGAGUUAAUAAGUCUCGGAAGUGUCGAGAAUAGCGAUGUGCGAUCGUCGGGGCGUAUCAUUUGUGGUGACCUUCCGAGCAGAGCCCGCUGGAGCGAACACAGGCAUGAACCUUAAGCUGGGAGGCGUGUUGGCUCUGAACGAGGCGUUACGAACCAAACUCGAGAAGUCUCGUCUCUCUCGGACGCUCCAGGUGUGAGAACCGCUGAUGCCGAGAUUGCCGCGACACAUGCUGGAAAUUUGUUCGGCGGGAAUUUACGAGCGAGUUUCCGUGUCAGACCCAAUACC